GGGUAUUCAUUAUGCUAGCUUUGCAACCUUUCUGAAGGUUUACAAAUUUUGAAAAUUAAAAAAAAUAAGAAAAUGCUGAAAUUUCUUUUUUUAACAUAUAUUGUUUGUAGAAAGAUAUUUAGGAUUAGAACUUCAUAAAUGUAUGUUUUCAGUGUUGAGGCUGUAAAUAGCAUGGUGCUAGGAUUAUCACUACAAAGAUGAAUCUACUUGAUAUUUUAAAAAAGUACAUGUACCAGGUUAAGAAAUUAAAGAGGUAAAAACUUCUUUAUAUCCUUAGUCCCUUUCCUCAAAAUAACUAUUGUUAGCUGUUUCUGUGAUUAUCUCCAUUAAACAAAUGAUAGAAGUAUGUCUUUUAG
rnacentral:lncRNA from 1 species